GCUUAACGUUGCGCGUGCAGUGGGUACGGGCUGACUAGAGUGCAGUAGGGGAGUCUGGAAUUCCUGGUGUAGCGGUGAAAUGCGCAGAUAUCAGGAGGAACACCGGUGGCGAAGGCGGGACUCUGGGCUGUAACUGACACUGAGGAGCGAAAGCGUGGGGAGCGAACAGGAUUAGAUACCCUGGUAGUCCAUGCCGUAAACGUUGGGCACUAGGUGUGGGGGACAUUCUACGUUCUCCGCGCCGUAGCUAACGCAUUAAGUGCCCCGCCUGGGGAGUACGGUCGCAAGGCUAAAACUCAAAGGAAUUGACGGGGGCCCGCACAAGCGGCGGAGCAUGCGGAUUAAUUCGAUGCAACGCGAAGAACCUUACCAAGGCUUGACAUUCACUGGACCGUUCUGGAAACAGUUCUUCUCUUUGGAGCUGGUGUACAGGUGGUGCAUGGUUGUCGUCAGCUCGUGUCGUGAGAUGUUGGGUUAAGUCCCGCAACGAGCGCAACCCUCGUUCUAUGUUGCCAGCACGUGAUGGUGGGAACUCAUAGGAGACUGCCGGGGUCAACUCGGAGGAAGGUGGGGAUGACGUCAAAUCAUCAUGCCCUUUAUGUCUUGGGCUUCACGCAUGCUACAAUGGCUGGUACAGAG
rnacentral:rRNA from 1 species